AACGUAGGUGGCGAGCGUUAUCCGGAUUUACUGGGCGUAAAGCGCGUGCAGGCGGCUUAUCAAGUGGUGUAUGAAAUAUCCAGGCUCAACCUGGAGGGGUUAUGCCAGACUGGUAGGCUAGAGUGCGAGAGAGGGGCGUGGAAUUCCGGGUGUAGUGGUGAAAUGCGUAGAGAUCCGGAGGAACCCCAGAGGCGAAGGCGGCGCCCUGGCUCGACACUGACGCUCAGACACGACAGCAUGGGGAGCGAACGGG
rnacentral:rRNA from 1 species